rnacentral:rRNA from 1 species
UGGGGAAUUUUGGACAAUGGGCGAAAGCCUGAUCCAGCAAUGCCGCGUGAGUGAAGAAGGCCUUCGGGUUGUAAAGCUCUUUUGUCAGGGAAGAAACGGUGAGAGCUAAUAUCUCUUGCUAAUGACGGUACCUGAAGAAUAAGCACCGGCUAACUACGUGCCAGCAGCCGCGGUAAUACGUAGGGUGCAAGCGUUAAUCGGAAUUACUGGGCGUAAAGCGUGCGCAGGCGGUUUUGUAAGUCUGUCGUGAAAUCCCCGGGCUCAACCUGGGAAUUGCGAUGGAGACUGCAAGGCUAGAAUCUGGCAGAGGGGGGUAGAAUUCCACGUGUAGCAGUGAAAUGCGUAGAGAUGUGGAGGAACACCGAUGGCGAAGGCAGCCCCCUGGGUCAAGAUUGACGCUCAUGCACGAAAGCGUGGGGAGCAAACAGGAUUAGAUACCCUAGUAGUCCCUGAGCGGGCUGGCAAGGCGCAU